rnacentral:rRNA from 1 species
GUCGAGAAUCUUUCACAAUGGGGGAAACCCUGAUGGAGCGACGCCGCGUGGAGGAUAAGGUCUUCGGAUUGUAAACUCCUGUCAUGCGAGAACAAAGCCUCACGGCCUGAUAGUAUCGCAAGAGGAAGAGACGGCUAACUCUGUGCCAGCAGCCGCGGUAAUACAGAGGUCUCAAGCGUUGUUCGGAAUCACUGGGCGUAAAGGGUGCGUAGGCGGCGGGGAAAGUCAGAUGUGAAAUCCGGAGGCUCAACCUCCGAAUUGCAUCCGAUACUCCCUCGCUAGAGAGUUGUAGGGGAGCUUGGAAUUCUCGGUGUAGCAGUGAAAUGCGUAGAUAUCGAGAAGAACGCUCGCAGCGAAGGCGAAGCUCUGGGCAACAUCUGACGCUGAUGCACGAAGGCUGGGGGAGCAAACGGGAUUAGAAACCCGAGUAGUCC